GUGCCAGCAGCCGCGGUAAUACGUAGGGGGCGAGCGUUGUCCGGAAUUACUGGGCGUAAAGGGUGCGUAGGCGGCGAUGCAAGUCCAUUGUGAAAAGCCCGGGCUUAACCUGGGAGGUGCAGUGGAAACUGUAUGGCUUGAGUGCAGGAGAGGAAAGUGGAAUUCCUAGUGUAGCGGUGAAAUGCGUAGAUAUUAGGAGGAACACCAGUGGCGAAGGCGACUUUCUGGACUGUAACUGACGCUGAGGCAC
rnacentral:rRNA from 1 species